rnacentral:lncRNA from 1 species
CUCUUGUUAAAAUACGCCGCCACGUGGACUUUAGGAGCGAUGAUGGGGAUGUGCGUGGUGUAGAUCGAACCCACGACGUCUGGGAUUUUAUGGACCGAUUCGAAUUUCUCCUUUGUGGAUUGGAUCUCCGAAUCCGACGGCCAGCGGAGGUACUUCGGCAUGAGGACGUCGUAGAUCGCGCGGCAGACCUCGAUGACCAGCUUGUGGCAGGUGGAGAUCCCGAGCCCGAACCGCUCCGACACGUGGCGCAGCGGCGCUCCAGUAGCUAAACGCCAGACGCAAACGCCGACGCGUUUGGGAGCUGGAAUCGCGUCGCGGAGCAUCGUGUUUUUCUUCGUAACCGUCGCGUCCAGCUCAUCGCAUAUCAGAUUAAACGUGGAUUUGCUCAUCCGAAACUCACGCCGGAACUCUUCCUCCGGAAAAUCAGGGCUGCUCACUCUGUCCCACCAGUCCGUGGUACGCUCCUUCACCCACAGCCUCCUAUGACUUGUCCCGGAGCCGCUAGCGAUAUCAGUCGCCUGAACCGGAGCGGUGGUUGCUUCCUCACCGGAAGCAACCGCGGAGACAACAGCAGCAGCAACGGCGGAUCUUCUUGCACGUUUUGGAGGAGUAACAUCCGUUUCUUCAGCUGUGUUGUAAUGACCUUGCAAUUGAUUGUAGUAACCAUCCAUUGCUCUCACUUUCUCCCUGUGAUUAGCUUCGAGAAGAGACUUCUCUCUAUUGGAUUCAAAGUCCCACUGCUCUUGCUGAUGCUUAGCUUCCUCGUCUAGUAGCAAAAGCGUCGCGAGUAUAUCUCCAAAGGCAGGCUUAUUACUACUACCAUUCACAGCUCCAGCUCCUUCUUCUUGGUCUUCCUUUCUUGGUCGUUUCUUACUGUUGUCGUUACCAAAACCUUCGAACCCGAAAUCAGAAGGAGAAGAAGAGUCCAUGUCCUGAAAUAGACCGAGGAAAUGGGAACACUCGUCGUCUUGUAGGUAUGGAAAUGGGAAAGCAGAUAUUUCCAUUAAAGGAGGAUCCUGAUUUUGACGAGUGUUUUUUUUUUUGGGUUUGAAAAGUGUUUGACUUUAUGUUUAGAUGUGAAAUCAGACUUGAAAGCUCCCAAGUGUUUGAAUUUCGAUGGUUCUGGUUUCAGACGUUUAUAUAAAAAAAAGGUUUAUUUGUCUGCCGAGAAGAGAAGAUUGCAGAGACGAAGGAAGCGCGUGAACGUGUGAACGCGGUGAGGGGAUGGGUUUGACGGUGACUUGACUUUCUUUUUCCAAGUUUUUUAUUAUUAUUUGUCCGCUUUUUUAUUUAGAUAAAGCGUUUACUGGUCACUGUUUCAUCGAGAGAUUGCACCGCGUAAAACUUGUUUGAUAACUCAUGUAAAGACAAAAAGAAAAACAUGUUUGAUUAAGGCGUUAUAACUAUAUUAGAUUCUAUAUGCAUAGUAGUGCACUAACAAUAUGUUACUCGGCUAUAUUAACUAUAAAAUCUGGCAAAAAAUUAUGUUAGUUAUAAUGAAUGGUCGGUCUGUUAAGUCUUCUCGAAGACACCCGAAAGAAUUUUUUUUAGCAAUAUCCUUUACUAUGUUAUGGGUUUAGUUUAGAAACAAUAUUGUAUUCGUAAAGAUGUAACGCUACGUUAUCUUAGAUUAUGAGUAUUGACUAUGUUGAGAAUCGAAAAUAAUGUUAGUUUGAGUUGCUUAACACACAUUAGAGACUGUGGAAAACACCAAAGUUCUGAAUUCAAAAGCUUAGCAAACCUUAUCUACGAAACAAAAGUAAAUGUCAAAAAGUCAAAUUUAGUCAGAGAAACUUAUAAACAUUUUAUUCUAAUUUAUUUGUUUUUGGUUCUAAUGUUACUUAAGUUUCUAGCUUAAUUUUAUUAUAUAGUUAUAUGUAGGCCUGGAACUUUUAUCCGAGAUCCGGAUUCGAUCCGUGAUCCGAUCCGGAUCCGAUCCGAAAAUCCGGAUAUCCGGAAAGGCCGAAUCCGGAUCCGGAUAGUAAAAUGUUGGAUCCGUCAAAGCCGAAUCCGGAUCCGGAUAUCUUGAUUUUUUAGUCCGGAUAUCCGGAUCCGUAAAUUUUAUUAAUAACUAUUUCAAAAAUAGUAAUAUCUAUAUAUAAAAACUAAUUUUAUUUAAUAUAUUUUCAUUUUUAUAAUAGUAUAUAUAAAUUUUAUGUAAAUUUUGUAAUAUUAUACAUAGAAAUAAUUAAAAACAUUCUAUAUAUUUUUAUUUUUAAAUUAUUGUUAAUAUUUUAUAUAUAUUAAUAUUAUUUUUUAUUUAUUUUAAGGAUCCAAAUCCGGAUCCGGAUAUCCGCCGGAUAUUAUAAUNNNNNNNNNNNNNNNNNNNNNNNNNNNNNNNNNNNNNNNNNNNNNNNNNNNNNNNNNNNNNNNNNNNNNNNNNNNNNNNNNUUAAUUUUUUUUAACAUAAAUAGUCAUUUAAAAUGAAAUACGAUAAAUAAAGAUAAAAUUUUUAAGUCUUUUAUAAAAUAAAACACAAAUAUAUGAAAAUGUGACAUUUACUAAAUAUUUGUCAAUUGAAAAAAAAAACAAAAAUAAACCCGCGCUUUGAAAGCGCGGGUCAAAAUCUAGUAUUAGCUUAAAAUUUAAAACAUAUACACAAGAAAAUCGAGUAUAUGAAAUUAAUGCCCAAGUCGAAGAUUAGAUGGAUAUAUAAAAGCUUUAUUUUGCAUUAUUUAAAGAUUUACGCGGUAAGGAAGCAUGGUUGGUGUGUCUUGUACUCUUUAAUUGACAUUUUCGGAAUUAUUCUUAAUAUCUAGUUACUCAUAUUUUUAAUACUGAUUUGGACUGCUUUAGAGAAAAAAACACGUUUCUAAAAGAGGAUAAGAAGUUUCUUGGAAGUGGCAAAUUGGUAAAACUAAGGACCCUAUUCCUUUGUACAUCUCAAAGAUGCAUCCAGAUGGUCCAUCUAGAUGUUUUAUCCAGAUGUUUCAUCUGAGUGUUGUUCGUUUUUUCAUUUCGUCCAUGCAUCCAAAAUCAUCUGAAUGCAGCUAUGUUCGUUUUUUUAACUUGCAUCUGCACCCAGGUGGACGUGUUAAUAAAUGACUAAAAUAUAUUUUUUAUGUUUCGACGGAAAAAAUAGCAUUUUUACGGUUUUGGUGGAAAAUACGUUUUUAUGGGUUUGGCGGAAAAAAAGUUUUUGCGGUUUGGUGGGAAAAGUACGUUUUGCGGUUUUGGUGGAAAAUGUGUUUUUGACGAAAAAGUGCGUUUUGCGGGUUUGACGGGAAAUUUUUUUUUCACGAUUUUGGCGGAAAAAUGCAUUUUGCGGUUUUGGCGGGAAAUGUACAUUUUUGCAUUUUUGACGGGAAAAGUUCAUUUUCGCGUUUUUGACGGAAAAUAUUUUUUGCGGUUUCGGCGAAAAAUGCGUUUUCCGGUUUUGGCGGAAAAAUGCGUUUUCUGGUUUUGGCAGAAAUUUUUUUUUUCUUUUUUUUGGCGGAAAAAUGCGUUUUUCGGUUUCGGCGAAAAAAUACGUUUUCCGGUUUAAGGCGAAAAAUGCGUUUUUCCGGUUUCGGCGGGAAUAUUGCGUUUUCCGGUUUUGGCGAGAAAAUAUAUUUUCCGGUUUUCACGGGAAAAUUGCGUUUUUCCGAUUUCAGCGGGAAAAUGCUUUUUGCGAUUUUGGCCGGAAAAUGCUUUUUUUGGGGGGGGGGGUUUGGCGGGAAUAUGCUUUUUUGAGUUUUGGCGGAAAAAUGCAUUAUUUCGGUUUUGGCCGAAAAAUGCGGUUUAAUUGGUUUGACCGAAAAGUGUGUUUUUAUGGAAAUAUGCAUUUUACGUUUUUUUGAGGAAAAACGCAUUUUGCGGUUUUGGCGAGAAAGUGUGUUUUUAAAAAAAAAUUGCAGGGAAAUGUAUUUUUCGGUUAUGGCGGAAAUAUGUAUUUGCAAAAAAAUAGAAUUUACGGUUUGAAAAUAAUAUUUUGACUUUAGAAGGUCAUUUUUGUCAUUUAUCAUUUUGGACUGAAUUAGAUGCAUCUACAUCCAAAUGCACCAUCAACACUCACCUUCAUUUGGAUGAGAAUUUGAGAUGAGUUUUUAAAAAUUCAGCUGGUUGAUUCCUCUGGAUAUAGCAUUAUAAUGCACAAAACGAACAUCAAUUUGCAUUUUUACCCAGAUGGAUCACCUGGAUGAGCAAACGAACAGCACCUAGAACGCGAUGACGAUGGUAGGGCACUGCGAGAGAGAUGGAUUCACAAACCAACACAUGCUCUCUUCAGGUGCGUUAUACCAACAAAAAAAAAACUAUUAGUUCGAGGAAAAACGAAAGAAAAAAAGGAGAGUUAUUUGCAAAUUCAUUCUUUCUUGUUUCACGAAAAUAAUAUUGAUGCCAAGUAAAUCGGAAAAUAAAAGAAGAAAAGAUUCAUUUAGGUUUGAGUUGUUUGAAUGUAUUUUCUUAAAACAAACUACUAAAUUACAUGUUUGGAUCUAUAACUUUCCUAUUAAUUUGAUAUGCUGACAAUGUUUAAGAAUCAAAGAGCAUGAUUAUUGGAAGGUUCUUAAGGUGGCGUUCUUAGCGGAAUAUAAGAACCCGUCUUUUAACUUUUAACUAAAAAAGUUAAGAAUCGGUUCUUAAAUAAGAGUUUUAAGAACCGGUUCUUAACUUUUUUUAGUUAAAAGUUAAGAGACGAGUUCUUAUAUUUCGCUAAGAACCCCACCCUAAGAACCCCCGAUAAUUAUGCUCUUAUCUUAUCUAUCUAUCUAUUUAUAUAAAAUAGAGUUUGCACUCUCCAGGUGAAGACACGUCAGAAAGUCGAGUCUUCUAGUCGUGACACGUGUCCGAGUUUUCCAAAACGCACCACUUCAUUUAAAUCACUACGCAAUCGGGUUUCGCUGGGCUUCUAUCGUCAAUUUCAUUUUUUUCAUUACGGACCUCUUUAGAUGGGCUAUACGAUUGAUUUAGUGGUGGGCUUUAACGUUCAAUAAUUUUGUCGGCUAGGAAACACAUUUUUUGGGCUAACCAAACAAAAUCUAAUAGUUUACCAUCUUCAGACUUUCGUCUUCUUCUUCUUCGAUGAGUUUUAGGGUUCGUCGUUAUAUGAACUUGACUAGGUCAAACUCCAAUGGAGGUUCUAAGUGGUUGCCCGUGUCAAACGUUCGUGUUGGAUCUCUUUGUCGGUCUCCUUCCUGGCGUUUCAUCUCCGAUUCAUUGCUUGUGAUACGUUACGGGAUUAAGUGGUUCAUCACCAUUAACAGCCUUCUUUACUCCUUGGACCCACUUCAUCCACAAUUACUAUUCAAAACUUCUCAUCUCCCUUCAAGGCGGUGCAAGUUCACCUAUAAAAAGGUCUCUCUUCUUCCCAUAAACAUCAUCCUCAACAAUCUUAUUACAAUCCAAACUUUGUUCUUAGUAAAAUGACUAACUCAUUCUUGCUGAUCUGAAGACGGGAAGUUAGCCAGAAACAUCAAACACGGUGGCGAACUCAUGGUUUUAGAUAUGCUCCUCCAGGAUGCUAAGGUUGUUCCUCCAAGUAUGCAUCUUUAUGGAGUUUUGUAGCUGGCCAUUAAGUGUUUAGUGUAACCAGUCUUUUAAGCUUCAUUCAUGUCACUGACCGGCUAACAGCAAAGGAGGAAUUCAAAGGGAAGUGAUGGUUAUGAGCUCUUUGGAAUCUAUUGUAAACUUCUACCUGUCCGGAUGUGCAGAUUUUAUACGAUCUCAAUGUUGUCAAGGUUAAGUGAUCCGGGGUUUCCGAUGCACACGUCGGUGAAGAUCCCGUCUGCGUUGACCACUCCCUGGACUGUGAUCGAGUACGACGUCUUCUGGUUCCUCUCCGUGUGCCUCUUGUUAAAAUACGCCGCCACGUGGACUUUAGGAGCGAUGAUGGGGAUGUGCGUGGUGUAGAUCGAACCCACGACGUCUGGGAUUUUAUGGACCGAUUCGAAUUUCUCCUUUGUGGAUUGGAUCUCCGAAUCCGACGGCCAGCGGAGGUACUUCGGCAUGAGGACGUCGUAGAUCGCGCGGCAGACCUCGAUGACCAGCUUGUGGCAGGUGGAGAUCCCGAGCCCGAACCGCUCCGACACGUGGCGCAGCGGAGCUCCAGUAGCUAAACGCCAGACGCAAACGCCGACGCGUUUGGGCGCUGGAAUCGCGUCGCGGAGCAUCGUGUUUUUCUUCGUAACCGUCGCGGCCACUC